AGCUCAACAGACGCGUUUACAAACAGGCUAGAGAUGUCAGCUGCUGUACUGGCGAAAUGAAAACACAGCCAUGAUUCUCCCAGUGCGACCACCCACACACUGACUGAGGGAGUCUGAGAAGAGGAAAGGGAGCUGAGGUGGGAGGAGGAGGAGGAGGUGGACGCCAUUGCAGCCGCAGCUGGCUGUAUGUGUUCGGGCUGAGGAGGAACAAACGUUACCGAGCGUUACAACUGGGAGAAACAUUGUGGACUUUUUCAGGGCCGAGACAACUAUCGCUGUGUUUUAAUGUGGAAACAAACGCCAAGGAUGGGCGGUUUGCUUCGUGAACGGAGAAAAUGUGGAGUCAGAGCAGCGCAGCGAAGCAGGUAAAGUGGGUUAGUUUAGUUUGGUGUGUUUACGGGGACAAUGGGAGAAAGUUUCGGCUAACCUCAGCUAACUAACGGGAGUUGUUUCAGCUAGCGUUACUGCUAGUUGUGGUACUCACAGUGAAGAUUUUUAUCAAAGUUUAUCGCUGUAAAGGGCUUUAAAGAAUUCUUAAUUUUGGGUGAGGUUUGGACGUAUUACCCUUGUAGUUAACUACUCCAAAGUUGAGUAACUUUUCGUUCAUAUAACGCUGAGAGAUAGCAACAGUUUUGCUUAUUUUCUUCCACUAUAGUGCUCAUUUUUGCUUUUAUAAAACUUGGGCUGUUACUUUUUGUGAAGUUAAUGCAUCUAUACGAACAUAACAUCUGUUUUUUGUUGCCUAGGAUAACGUUAAACUUGUAAAUAUUGGGUCAGUAACAGAUGUAUCAUUUGCUCUAUGCUGGAUGGUCCAAGAAAAUGGUCAAAAGGCUACACUGACUCAUUAUAGUGCAGUUAAACUUGCUGAAGUUUCUGCUGAUAAUAACAAAUAUACACAUGAGCUAGUUUAAUCGAUGCAAACUGGUCAUAAACAUAAUAGGGAUGUGUAUUAUCGGAAUUGUUGCCGAUAUAAUGAAACUUAUUUUGGUUGAUGCCGAUAUCGAUGCAACUUUUGAAUCAUUAUGAAGGACGUGAAGUCUUAUAUUACUCUCACUGUGACAGGCUGUUUUUAGAAACAAACAUAACAUGAGACUUAACCCUUUUCCCUGUGUUGAAACAUGAAGAAUGUUUUUUCUUUUCUUCAAAAAUGUCUGUUGUCUGUUUCCAACAUUUUGAAAUACUUUGAUAUCGCUUACACUUUGGGGCUUGAUGGAAAGCUGUCAUCUCAGGCACAAAGUCAAUACUGUACUUUGU